UGCCUGGAGUGAAGAUUCUGCCCAUUGGUCAAGAGACCUCCCUCUCAGAUGCUGGCUCUGCCCCUGCCUUUGGGGGUCGACCCUUGUACUCGCAGGACCUUAGGUGACUCUGACUUUGUCAAAGGAAAAAUUUCUGCAUGUGCACACACAGAUCUUGGAAGUUUAUUCAUCUCAGCAGAGGCAGACAGGAGCAUCAACAGCCUUGGGGACAGCAGCAGUGGUGAAAACUCGGGAAAUAUCAAAAACUUCCAAAAAAUAUAAAGAAUCAGAAAAAGCGGCCGGAUGCAGUGGCUUACACCUGUAAUACCAGCACUUUGGAAGGCCAAGGUGGGUGGAUCACCUGAGAUCAAGAAUUCGAAAACAGCCUGGCCAACGUGGCAAAACCCCCAUCUGUACCCAAAAUACAAAAAUUAGCCUGGCGUUGCAGCGGGCGCCUGUAAUCCCAGCUACUCAGGGAGGCUGAGGCAUGAGAAUUGCUUAAACCUGGGAGGCAGAGGUUGCAGUGAGCCGAGAUCGCACCACUGCACUCCAGCCAAGGUGACAGAGCAAGACCUCUUCUCAAAAAAGAAAAAGCACCCACAAUUCCAACUGAAAGUUAACUACAUUCUAUAUUUUGUCAUAAUUUGUUUUCCAUCACUUUUUGUAUUUACAUUUAUUUUACA
rnacentral:lncRNA from 10 species